CUUCAGGUGAUCCUGCUUCACUAAGCCAUGAGGAUGUCACUGGAUGUCAGGAGCAGACAGUGUUGAUGACCAAUGAGCAGAAAGUGAAUACAUUGUGCGUACACUGGACAAAGGGAUGAUUCAAAUUGUAGGCAGAAAGGCGGAGUAACCAUACGAAAAUGUAAAUCAGACUACAAGGCUUCAUUUCCAGAACUCUGCAGCGGCUCCCCAUUGUGCUUGAAAUAAUAUCCACGUGCCCCCAUCUCCCUCUAGGAAUGAAGGACUUACUUCACUCACUGCUGGGAAUGCUGCCAAGUCAGCUCUCAGGUGAAGGGAUUAUGCAAGAAAGUGACAGACAAGCUUGACCUCUGACCAAGAGAGCAUGUGAUAACCCUGAUAAGACAGAGGACAUGGAAGCAUGCUACAGGAUAAGAUGGGUAAGGAUGAGACAUUCACAUAUGAAUUCACUUAUGCAAAUUAUUCUUUUGAUGCAUCAGAUCAAUCACUCAGAGACAGAUUUAAAAUGAAAGGUAGAGCCUGCCCAUAAAUUCUACAAAAUGUGCAUCUUAGAAAU